rnacentral:rRNA from 1 species
UACGGAGGGUGCAAGCGUUAUCCGGAUUCACUGGGUUUAAAGGGUGCGUAGGCGGGCAGGUAAGUCCGUGGCGAAAUCCCCGAGCUUAACUCGGGAACUGCCAUGGAUACUAUUUGUCUUGAAUAUUGUGGAGGUAAGCGGAAUAUGUCAUGUAGCGGUGAAAUGCUUAGAUAUGACAUAGAACACCAAUUGCGAAGGCAGCUUACUACACAGUUAUUGACGCUGAGGCACGAAAGCGUGGGGAUCAAACAGG